ACUUUUACCAAGGUUGACCUCGGAUCAGGUAGGAAUACCCGCUGAACUUAA
rnacentral:rRNA from 1 species